CGCUAGAGUGCACUCGCGACUAGUCAGUGCUCGAGUUAGCCGCGCCGGAUCGCAAUCAGUCGCAGUUCAGCCGGUUCAGCUGAAGCACUUGUACGAGGCUUUCAAUCAGUCAUCACGGUGCCUAGUUCAUCGCAGUACUUAUUCAACUUCCAACCACGAAGGGUAGGCGUUACAUGGCAUCGCACAAUUCGUUUACAGGUACUCUGAGAUCCUGUCGCCGCAGUUAUGACCCCCUGGACUUCCCCUGUUCAUCAGGGGGAGUCCAGGGACCCGUCCCCUGG
rnacentral:lncRNA from 1 species